CCACGAGCUCAUUCAUUCAAGUGUCCCUAGAUAUUUUAUCCUCUUAUCCCUUUUAUCUUUUUCUUUCUUUCUCCAAUCGCCUAUAUAUUACACCCCUUCAAAUCUAUGAACGUCUCAUUCUCUAUCACUAAUCAAAUUCCUGUCUUCUUUUUCUUCAAAUUAAUUGCAAAUGAUAUGUAAUGUAAUUUCCCAUUGUUUCUUCAAUUUGGAUCAAUUACAAACAUAGCAAGUUGAUUAAAAAUUGGCAUUAUCGAUCAUGAAGCGAAACUGCUAUUUGGAUCUUCGUUUUCGCCCUUCAUCUGCGUCCCAACCCCAUCAUUCAAUAAUUUCGUAGGAAUGAGCCAUUGAACAUGAACAGAAAAGUUGUUGCCAUUCCGAAUAGUAGUCGCCACAUGCUUGAUGUCACAGAACUUCAGGUAAUGUGAAUUGUGCCAAAUUCAAUCUCUGACGAUUUCUUCACCUUUUUUCGGAAAUAGAACUUUGACAAUUUCAAUAUAAUAAAUUGGGGUUUGAUAUUUUUCUUUAUUUAAUUAAAAGGAAAGCUUUAUUUCCGAUUUUUAUAGGUGUGUUUGAGAAUCAUUUGAGUUAAACUCAAUUGAAGUUAAAAGAAAAGGUUACCCUCAUUGUCUUUUACUUUUCUUAUAUACAAAUGUGUAUUUUUUUUUUUUUAUUAAAAGUGAUUUUAAACGGGUACGUUGUUGAUAAUUAAAAUCAAUGUCAAUGCACAAGUACGUCCCUUAAAUAUGCUAAACUUCUUCGGAUAACUAAUCAAGGCAACUCAGCAGAAUAACUUUUUAAUUAAAAAUGAAAAAAGAAAAUGCAUUGGUUCGUAGCUUUGGUCACAAGAUUGGAUUGAAAAAUGUUUUGUACGAAAAGGGAACAAUAGCAUGUGAUGUAGUACCUUUGGUUGAAAUUGUAUGCAGGCAAGAGUGAUAAUAUGGUUGGCAAGUCAAGAAAGGGUAGGAAACACGGGACCAAGUUCAGCCACGUCACAUUAUUUGCAAUCUCAAGCUUUAUUAAUGCAUGCCCCACAAGGUUUUACAAUAAAGAAGUCCCUUCGGAAUUUCCUUCAGAAGAGAAAAAAAAGGUCUCAGAAGUCACAUGCCCAUUGCAUAUCGGAAUAUAGCACAACUUAGUCAACAGGAGUCAACGACAUGAGUUUUUUCACAUCAAUUUUUAUUACAAUUCAUUUUUAUUACACCCAACUAGAAAUAAUCUAUUUUCUUCUUUCUCAUCUCUCUAUAUUUUGUAUAUUGGGGUGUAACAAAAGUGUAAAUUAAAAUUGAAAGUGACAAAAUAUUUUCUCGUCAAAUUGUAUCCUUUGCGAGACCAAUGAAAAAUAUAUACCUGUAGUACGUAUUAAUUUUCUCCUAAUGCUCUUUACUCGUAUGAAUGAAAAGGGACAUUUUCAGUCCACUACAAUACUUAACAUAAACUAUUAGUUCAGAUUUGCAUAUACAAGCAAAAUGUAGAUUAACUGGUUGGAUUUAACAUGACACUAAUGAAAGGGAAGAAAAAAAAACUCCAUGACUUGAGACAAUAGGAAUGUGGAUGAUGAAUUUGAGAAUCAGUACACAAAUAUGCAUGGUGCUGUCGCGAAUGAAACAAGUUAAAAAAAAAAAAGUGAAAUA